GAUCCUGGCUCGAGGAUGAACGCUGGCGGCGUGCCUAACACAUGCAAGUCGAACGAAGCACAUACGACGGAACUCUUCGGAGGGAAGAUGUAUGUGACUGAGUGGCGGACGGGUGAGUAACGCGUGGGUAACCUGCCCUAUACAGGGGGACAACAGUUGGAAACGACUGCUAAUACCGCAUAAGCGCACAGUACCGCAUGGUACAGAGCGAAAAAACUCCGGUGGUAUAGGAUGGGCCCGCGUCUGAUUAGUUAGUUGGUGAGGUAACGGCUCACCAAGACCGCGAUCGGUAGCCGGACUGAGAGGUUGAACGGCCACAUUGGGACUGAGACACGGCCCAGACUCCUACGGGAGGCAGCAGUGGGGAAUAUUGCACAAUGGGGGAAACCCUGAUGCAGCAACGCCGCGUGAAGGAAGACGGUUUUCGGAUUGUAAACUUCUGUUCUUAGUGAAGAAUAAUGACGGUAGCUAAGGAGCAAGCCACGGCUAACUACGUG
rnacentral:rRNA from 1 species